rnacentral:lncRNA from 1 species
GCAGAAGUUGACGGGCGCCAGGCCGGGCAGGUAGAAAGCGCCGCUCCGGCGCGGGCCAGGAACCGCCCCCAGCAGGAGCAGCGACAGCAGCAACAGCCGCGGCCACCGAGGUGGAGACAACACCGGCAGCCUCGCGCUCAUGAUAGUUGUUUCGGGGAAAGGGCAAUCAAACCUAGGGGGUCAAGAGGGAAGGAGGGGUGGGGAGUCUCGGAGACGACUACAAGGCCGCCAGAGAUAAAGGAAGCCGGCCCCCAGAAGGCUAGUUCCGGUUGCGCUAGGAGACACCCCGGGUCCCGCAACAGAAACCGAAGCGGACCGCAACAGAGCAUGCGCACCGCCGUCUGCACAUGCUCAGUGAGAACGGUCGCAGGCACCAGGAGGAGUUUCCGGGAGGGAGCGGGGGCGAAAUCCACUUUCCGGGUUUUCCGCGCGCCAGCUGAGGUGGUUGCUGGGAGAGGUGGUUGCUGGGAGAGCUGUUCCGGCGCUCACGUUCCAAUUCCAAAUUACAAAUUCCGAUCUAGAGCUCCCACGCUUGGGGGCUGUGGAGCGCUCGCCAGCCGCUCCCCGUUUGCUGCUGGGUCUUACGAAGUUCUCAUAUCCAUCAUACAGUUUCUUUGUCACACUGUCCGCGGCACGCCAGUCCCUAUGACAGAAAGCACCUGCGGUCUGUCUGGAGGCGGAGUUGGUGGCGGAGAGAAAAAGUUCUGGAGACACCUGGUUGGGAGCAGGCUAAGGAAACAAAUGGGGAGGAAUUAGCCACAAAUCCUCAAAUAGACAGCUACUCAAAGGCAUCUUCACGGACAAUUUCCAAGCAUUGGAUGCAGUGGUGCAUUCUUGCAUUGGGCAGUGAUUGUGUGCACACAUCUCUUUAAGGGAGAGUGGAAAUGGGGUGAGGAGGAAAAUGGGAGUAGGAUAGAGUGUAGCGUUGACAUUUAUUUUCUUUAAAGGAAGACCCGAGCAUACCUGAGAGCUCAGUGAAGAAAGUAGUUCUGGCGAAUCGGAUUAAUAUGCACCACUGAAACUUGACCUUCGGCCGGCGCGGUGGCUCACGCCUGUAAUCCCAGCACUUUGGGAGGCCGAGAUGGGCGGAUCACGAGGUCAGAAGAUCGAGACCAUCCUGGCUAACACGGUGAAACCCCGUCUCUACUAAAAAUACAAAAAAAUUAGCCGAGCGUGGUGGCGGGCUCCUGUAGUCCCAGCUACUUGGGAGGCUGAGGCAGGAGAAUGGCGUGAACCCGGGAGGCGGAGCUUGCGGUAAGCCGAGAUCGCGCCACUGCACUCCAGCCUGGGCGACUGAGCACGACUCCGUCUCAAAAAAAAAAAAAAAAAAACAAAAAAAAAACUUGACCUUCAUUAUAUCUCACUGCCCUCAUCCCAAACAUUUCCUCUCCCAGUUUUCCAGGAAACGGCAUCGCUGCCCAUCUCUUUUCAGGCCCCAACCCUGGAGAAGAACCUAAAUUUCUCAUUUCCUCACUACCUACCUCCAGUCCUUCAGCAGGUCCCGUUGGUUGGGCUGCUAAACUAUGGGCUAAAUCCUUUCAGUACUUUCCAUGCCCACAGCUACCACUCUGGUCCAAGCCAAAUUCUUAGUUCCCCUGGACUUCUUACUGCAGUAGCCUCUCAGCUUCCACUCUUGGCAAAAUCAAUUUUAUAAAACCUUGAAAUCCCUUAAUACCACUCGUCUGCUUAAACCUCGGCAUCCCACAUUUACCACUAUCAGGAAGGAUCACGUUUGUUUGUUUGCUGUCUCAUUCCCCCAUUUAUAUGUGAAUUCCACGGGUAAGGGCCUGCUCCUACAUCCCACACCUCUACAUCCACAGAGCCUAGAGACCGCAGGCGCGGGGAAAGCACUCCACGACCAUCACUGGCCAGGCCACAAGAGUGCUGGAUCUAAAUUUGGAACCGGACUUUCAGAGCUGAAAUAAACCUGAGGUUUUCCAGGGGCUUUUAACCUCCUUUUACAGCCAAGGAUGCGCCUAAGAAAGGGGAGAGGCUUCCGUGACUUCCUGCAGUAACGCAGCCACUAGAGAUUGAGACUACAACGACUUGGGAGUCUAAAAGUCUGCAACCUUUUCCACUCCAGAGCUCAAUGUUUCCUCAAUCCCCCGGGAUCGGCAUCAGCAAAAACCCGGAGAAGCGGAGCCUUUCUCAAAGAAAAUGACCUCCAGACUCAUGCUACCAUCUCGACCGGUGCAAGUAUCACGCAUGCGCAGGGCCGGCCGCCCGGCCGCACCUCGCCAACUCCUACUCGGACACGUCAUCUAGGUCGGCCUGGGUCUGGUGGGAGGGGCCGGGGGCGGGGCUCGUACGCGGGGCGAAGUGGUCCCCCUACUUCCGGAUCCGGCCUCACCUGGCCAACGCCUCAUUCGGGGUUCCUUGGUUACGUGGCUGCGGUGUCUACCCGGUGCUGGGGCGUGGCGGAGAGAGACCGCCCCGCCCUCCACGCAGGCCACAAAAUGGAGGCCCUGCCCUGUGGGCUUUUGUGGCCUGGGCGCUGUCGUGCCGAAAGACGAAAGUGACAAUUCCAGUUGCAAACUGGAAAGAAAUGGAGUUUUUCCUUCAUUCUCCCCAUGAUCGUGACGGUCCUUUUCUCAAAGUACUAAUACUUUUAAUGGGACUGUAAAACUUGAGGGAUAUGACUCUCUCCUCUCCUCUGCUUCAGAUUGCAUUUGCCAACUCUGAUUUACCGCCAAUACUAUGGUGCUGUCAUAUUCAUAGAGACAGAAAGUAGAGCAGUGGUUGUAGAGAGAGUCUGCAGAAGGAGGGAUGGGGAUUUACUGUUUAAUGGCAUACGGUUUCAGUAUGGGUUGGUGAAAAAGUUGGGAUGAAUGGUGAUGACUGCACAACAAUGCAAAUAUGCUAAUGUCACAGAAGUGUACACUUAAAAAUGGUUAGACGGUAAGUUUUCUAUUAUGUAUAUUUUACCACAAUUUUUUUUUAAAUGCAACAGAGUCUCGCUGUUGCCUAGGCUGGAGUGCAGUGGCAGGAUCUCAGCUCACUGCAACCUCCGCCUUCCAGGUUCAAGCGAUUCUUGUGCCUCAGCCUCCCAAGUAACUGGGAUUACAGGUGCCAGCCACCACGCCCAGCUAAUUUUUGUAUGUUUAGUAGAGAUGGGGUUUCACCAUGUUGGCCAGGCUAGGCUGUUCUCGAACUCCUGAACUCAGGUGAUCCGCCUGCCUUGGUCUCCCCCAGUGCCGAGAUUACACGCGUGAGCCACCACGCCGGGCCCCACAGUUUUUUGUUUUUGUCUUUUAAAUUUUUUUUAACAGCAUUUGUGUCUUUUUUUCUUUUUCUUUUGUUUUUGAAACAGAAUCUCACUCUGUCACCAAGCUGGAGUGCAGUGGCGCCAUCUUGGCUCACUGCAACCUCUGACUCCCUGGUUCAAGCAAUUCUCCUGCCUCAGCCUCUCCAGUAGCUGGGGUUACAGGCACGCACCACCCCGCCCAGCUAAUUUUUGUAUUUUUAGUAGAGAUGGGGUUUCACCAUAUUGGCCAGGGUGGUCUCCAUCUCCUGACCCCGUGAUCCACCUUGCCUUCCCAAAGUGCUGGGAUUACAGGUGUGAGCCACUGCACCCAACCUAAAUGGCAUUUGUUUCUUCCACUCCUCUCUGCCAGAAUAAUUUGGACAGCCUUUUCUGAGUUUCCCAUGACGACUUCUGUAUAAGAUUGUCGGAUAUAGCAAAUAAAAGUACAGUAUACCCAGGUAAAUUUUAAUUUCAGAUGAUCAAUGAAUAAUUUUUUAGUAUAAGUACAUUCCAACUAUUACAUGGGACAUAAGGGUAUUUUAUCUGAUCACCCUACUUUUGUGUCAAGUUAAAAUUAUUAGCAAAAGUGCUUCCGUUUUUAGGAAGUGCACACUGUACUCUAGUAGUUAGGCAGGAGAACAGGGUCUGCGAGCAGGGAACCUAAGGCCGUUUCACACUGACUUCCUAGAGCCAUUUGGAAAGGAAAACCCUAACUUUCCACUCCUAAGUAACAAAAGGCCCAGAGGCCACUCCCUUUGCAAACCCCCACCUUUUCUGUGCCGCAGCUGGAAAAUUGAAAGUGCCUCUGAUUGGUUGCUUUCUGCAACUAAUCAGAUGUUUGCAUAGAGUGUAACUUUGUAACUUCACUUCAGCCUCUGAUUGGUUGCUGUCCCCAACCAAUCAGACUGAUUGUGGGCCAAGGCUUCGUUUGAAUAGAAGUGCAACUUUGUAACUUCACUUUAGCCUCUGAUUGCAGGCCACCACUUCAUUUACAUGGGGUGAGCACCAAGUAAGUGGCCAAUGGGAAACAUCUAGAGGGUAUUUGGACCCGAGAAGAUUCUGUAUCUGGGGCCCUUGAGCUGCUGCUCAGCCUGCUCCCACACUGUGAAGUGUACUUUCACUUUCAAUAAAUCUCUGCUUUCCUUGCUUCAUUCUUUCCUAGCUUUACUGUGCGUUUUGUCCAAUUAUUUGUUCAAAACGCCAAGAACCUGGACAACUUGCUGUCCGCAACCAAUCAGACUGAUUGUGGGCUGAAUCUUCAUUUGCAUGGAAGUGCAACUUUGUAACUUCACUUUAGCCUCUGAUUGCGGGCCACCACUUCAUUUACAUGAGGCAAACACCAAGUAGGUGGCCAAUGGGAAACCUCUAGAGGGUAUUUGGACCUGAGAAGAUUCUGUAUCCGGGGUUCUUGAGCUACUGCUUGGGCUCACUCCCACACUGUGAAGUGUACUUUCACUUUCAAUAAAUCUCUGCUUUCCUUGCUUUGCAGUGCGUUUUGUUCAAUUCUUUGUUCAAAACCCCAAGAAUCUGGACAACUUGCACUCAAGACCCUCUACGGGUUUGGCGAGCCAGACCACUAUGGGCAACUCUCUAUCUAUUCGACCUGAUUCCACUAUGGGCAAUUCUACACCUGUUCCACCGGAUUCCUCACUUGGCUACAUCAUCCACCAUUGGAAUCAAUUUGACCCUGACACUCUAAAGGGAAAAUGUAUAAUUUUUUUCUGUAAUACUGUUUGGCCCCAUUAUGAGCUGCCCAGCCCCCAGCAAUGGGCAGUCAGUGGUAGCCUUAAUUAUGACACCAUCCUGCAAUUAGACCUACUUUGCAAGAGGCUGGGAAGAUGGUCAGAAGUCCCAUAUGUACAGGCUUUUAUCAAAAUAUCAAAAACCUAACAAUCUGUGAAACUCCCAGAACCCACCCCCCAAAGGAAAGUACUAAGGCAGAACUAGAUAUUAUAGAUGACCCUCUUUUACAAGGGCUAGCUGUCUCUCAGGGUGAACAGCAACCAUCCCCAUAAAGCCCCUUGCCAAGUGCUCCUGAGGCUAAAACCCAGGAGCAAACACCAGGGACCCUACUAAAUCCCCCUCACACUUGGAGAGGAAUGCCAUAUUCAAUUCUCUCUCCAGCCCUGCUACCUCUUAGGGAAGUAGCAGGAACCAAGGGGCCAGUCCUAGUGCAGGCCCCCUUCUCUAUAAUUUAUACAUACAAUAUAAGGAAAAGCUAGGAAACUAUUCUGAGAAUCCUAAGAAACUUGCAGAUGGGUUCCAGCGUUUGACCUUAGCCUCUGAUCUAUCAUGGAGAGAUGUUCAAUUCAUUCUAGCAACCUGUUACACACCCUCAGAAAAGGAAUGAAUCUCUGAGGCCGCCCACCUGCAAGCAAUGAAUUAUUUGCCCAAAACUCUCAGGGCAAUCAUCCCGGCCCAGACACAGUUCCCACUAUUGAUCAUAAUUGGGACUAUAACACUCCUGAGGAAAUGAACAACCGGGCUAAAUUUCUUGAGGCUCUCCUUGGAGGAAUGAGAAAGGGAAUAACUAAAGGCAGUAAAUUAUGAUAAAGUAAGGGAGGUUACACAAGGCAAGGAGGAAAAUCCAGCCAUGUUUUAUGGCAGGCUGGAGGGAGACUUUAAAAAAUAUACUAAUCUGGACCCUUCCUCUCCCGAAGGCAAAAUAUUAAUAGCACAGCAUUUCAUUAGCCAAUCUGCCCCAGACAUUAGAGAUAAGCUCCAAAAGCUACAGAUGGGGCCACAAACUAAUCAAAAUCAGCUUACUUAUAUCACAUUUAUGGUGUAUAACAAUCGUGACCUGAAGGAAGGAAAAAGGGAACAGAGUAAACAAAAUGGCAAGCCAAAAGUAUGGCAGCCAUCAUUGACGAUGCCCUGAAUGUACAAAGAGUGUCUAAGGGAAACCCGAAGGGCCAUAAAGAUAAUGCCAGCAAAGGCUCUUGCUUCAAAUGCAAGAAAAGAAGACAUUGGGCAAAGGAUUGUGCUAAGUCCCCGCCAGGCCCCUGCCGUCAAUGCAAGGGCACCAGUCAUGACCCCUGGCACUGGAGAAUUGACUGCCCAUGUUCCCACUGAGGGGCUCAGUCAGUCAAAACUCUAGCAGUGCAAAAGGAGGAAUUAGAUGAAGACUGAAGGGGCCUGAGGUCUUCCUCACUGCCCCUGUUCAGGAACAUUGUAAUUACUACUGAGGAGCCCCAGGUAACUCUGGACGUCAUGGGCACCCAAAUUCAGUUUCUUUUUGAUGCAGGAGCAAAUUACUCUGUUCUUACUGCUUAUGCAGUAAGGCGUUCCUCCCAGUCCACAAGUGUUAUGGGAAUAGAAUGGAAGCCACAAACGAGUUUUUAUUUUAUUUUAUUUUAUUUUAUUUUACUUUAAGUUCUGGGAUACAUAUGCAGAAUGUGCAGGUUUGUUACAUAGGUAUACAUGUGCCAUGGUGGUUUGCUGCACCUAUCGACCCAUCAUCUAGGUUUUAAGUCCCACAUGGAUUAGGUAUUUGUCCUAAUGCUCUUCCUCCCCUUGCCCCCAACCCCCCAACAGGCCUUGGUGUGUGAUGUUCCCCUCCCUGUGUCCAUGUGUUCUCAUUGUUCACCUCCCACUUAUUAGUGAGAACAUGCGGUGUUUGGUUUUCUGUUCCUGUGUUAGUUUGCUGAGAAUGAUGGUUUCCAGCUUCAUCCAUGUUCCUGCAAAGGACAUGAACUCAUUCUUUUUUAUGGUUGCGUAGUAUUCCAUGGUGUAUAUGUGCCAUAUUUUCUUUAUCCCGUCUAUCACUGAUGGGCAUUUGGGUUGGUUCCAAGUCUUUGCCAUGGUAAAUAGUGUUGCAGUAAACAUACAUGUGCAUGUAUCUUUAUAAUAGAAUGAUUUAUAAUCCUUUGGGUAUAUAUCCAGUAAUGGGAUUGCUGGGUCAAAUGGUAUUUCUGGUUCUAGAUCCCUGAGGAAUCACCACACUGUCUUCCACAAUGGUUGAACUAAUUUACACUCCCACCAACAGUGUAAAAAUGUUCCUACUUCUCCACAGCCUCACCAGCCUGUUUCCUGACUUUUUAAUGAUCACCAUUCUAACUGGUGUGAGAUGGUAUCUCACUGUGAUUUUGAUUUGCAUUUCUCUAACAACAAGUGAUGAGCAUUUUUUCAUAUGUUUGUUGGCUGCAUAAAUGUCUUCUUUUGAGAAGUGUCUGUUCAUAUCCUUUGCCUACUUUUUGAUGGGGUUGACAAACAAGAUUCAUUACUCCUCCUUUGAUUUGUCAAUUUGAGAAACAACUCUUCCAACAGGAUUUCCUAGUAGUACCAAGCUGCCCAAUCCCCCUGUUGGGAAGAGAUAUUAUGGUUAAAAUGGAGGCACUACUACAAUUUAAGCAUCACCCAUUGAAAUUGCUGAUAGUCAAAAAUACAGUGUUCCAGACCACAUUAAUAAAUAGGUUAACCCGCUGGCAUUGGUAUACUGGAAAACCAGGGAAGGCUAAAACAGCAGUGCCAGUCAAAAUACAUUUUAAAGACCUCAGCUAGUUUCCCAAUUGAAAAUAAUAUCCAAUUAAGCAGGAAGCAAGAAAAGGCCUAGCACCCAUAAUUGAGGUAUUACUUAUUACAUGGGCUCUUAAAAUCCUGUAAUUCCCCUUGCAAUACCUGUUCUAAAGCCUUUGGGGGAAUACCAGUUAGUAUAGGACUGGAGAAUACCGGUUAGUAUAGGACCUGAGAAUAAUUAAUGAGGCUGUUAUCCCCGUCCACCCACUGGUGGCAGAUCCAUAUACCCUUAUGGCUCAGGUACAAGGGGAUGCAAAAUGGUUCUCAGUCCUGGACCUAAAAGAUGCUUUCUUCUCCAUCCCUCUGGCCCCAGAGUCCCAAUACCUUUUUGCCUUUGAAUGGGAAAAUCAAUAUGAGGGAAAAACAGUAAUAUACCUGGACAGUGCACCCUUAGGGCAUUCAGGAUAGCCCCCAUUGGAUUGCCCGAGCCUUAGAGAGGGAUCUGAAGGAUCUGAAAGUGAAAAAUGGGAAUAUACUCCAGUAUGUGGAUGACUUUCUUGUGUGUAGCCCAAACCCAGGAGGUUUCUGACCAAACUACUAUAAAAACUUUGAAUUUCCUGGCAGACAGGGGAUACAAAGUGUCCGACAAGAAGGCACAGAUUAUCCUCCAAUGGGUGCAAUAUUUAGGGUAUGUCUUAACACCCAGAGCCUGACAAAUAUCCCC